CAGGUCCUACGGGACGCAGCAGUGGGGAAUAUUGCACAAUGGGGGAAACCCUGAUGCAGCGACGCCGCGUGAGUGAAGAAGUAUUUCGGUAUGUAAAGCUCUAUCAGCAGGGAAGAAAAUGACGGUACCUGACUAAGAAGCCCGGGCUAACUACGUGCCAGCAGCCGCGGUAAUACGUAGGGGGCAAGCGUUAUCCGGAAUUACUGGGUGUAAAGGGUGAGUAGGCGGCAUGGUAAGCCAGAUGUGAAAGCCUUGGGCUUAACCCAAGGAUUGCAUUUGGAACUAUCAAGCUAGAGUACAGGAGG
rnacentral:rRNA from 1 species